rnacentral:lncRNA from 1 species
UCACAAUAAGAAACACUUUUAUACCGAAAGCAAAACCUAAAAAUAUGAAGUUCACAAAUCGUUCCAUAACAUCUUUUCUCAUACACAAUCAUAUUCAGCCCUCCACCCUUCUUCCAUUAGGAUGUCAAUCCUCUAAUACAGUGAUGAAAGUGGCAUACUAUUUGUUGAUUGAUGAGCAAUUAUUCUCUUUAGUUGCAUCCCCUCUUAUGUGAGAACACAAUUUAGCAACUCCUCUUGUUACACCUACAAUAAUUCAGUGCACUUGUUGAAGAAAGACAAAAUCAUUUAGCUAGACAAUGAAACUCCGUUAUAAGAGUGGGCUACAAUUCACACCAACGUGUAAGUAUUUGAUCAAUUUAUUAAUUAGCAUAAUCUUCAAUGUUGAUUGAUAAAAAGAAAUAAAAACCUUAGAUUACAUGGCAAUCUUCGAGUAAAUUUAGUUAUAAGAUUACUAAUGCAACAAUAUAAUUUUGUUGGAUUCUAUAUAAUCAAUCAUCUUUUAAAAUAUAUUCUAGAUUAUAAUAUGAAUAUAUUGUUAUUGUCAUUAGCAUGUUGGGUCUAAUUUUAUGCUUGUAUUGGUUUUCUGUAAACACAAUACAGUGAUGAUUCUACUUGUAUUGGUUUUCUGUUGAAUUUGUAUCAUUUACAUUUUUUGUUAGAGCUAUUUAUUAUAGUAACUCUAAUACAUUCUUUUUUUUUUCCGCACAACAGAUGAAGGUGAAGAUUCAAAUAUGUACACUAUCAAGCUAUAUUAUAAGGGUUGGUGGGUUUUUGAGCCAGUGAUGAACUAUGUUGAUGGACAGAUUGCUUAUUAUGAUUAUUGCAAGGGAGAUGAAAAUUCCAUCAUUCAAAUGAGAAGGUGUAUGAAAAGGCUGAAAGUUAAUGAUAGGAAAGUGAAAUUUUGGUUCAAGUCCGGACCUUAUUUUGAGACAAAUAUAAGGCAUUUAUCAACUGAUUUAGAUAUAUAUAACCUUGUCAAUGAAAUGCCUGACAGUAGAGAGGUGGAAAUAUUUGUUGAGCACACAGAUAAGGAUCAAUGGAACUAUGACGUGGUUGAUUCUGAGGGGAGCCCAUUACAGGACGAAGAAGGUUUGAUAGAUGUGAAUAUAAUAGAGAAAAGUGAUGAGAGUGAUGCCACAAGUGAAGAAUGUGAGUCAUUUCAUGACUCUGAUUAUUCAAUGGAGGAAGAUGAUGUGAUUUUUGAUAAAACCAUCGACUCUACUGUAGAAUGGGUUGGUUUCAAUGGGAAAAAUAAAGAUAAUCAAGAUAAAGAAAAAAUUAUAGAGCUUGGAGUUGCCUCAAACAUGUCGGCUAUGUUUCCUAACGACACUCAAGAAGACGAUUGUGCUACAUCAGAUGAGGAGUUAAUGAGUUUACAUGGAGAUUCGGAUGAUGAAAAUCUUAAAAGAACCAUUGUUUUUAAUCCAACUAGGGAUUUGGAGGAUCCAAAAUUUAAGUUUGCGCUUAAUAUGAUUUUCAGUAAUAGCAAAGAAUUCAAGUGGGCAGUUGAGGUGCAAGCCGUGUUACAAAAAAAAGACAUCAAGUUCAAAAAGAAUGAAAGUACAAGAUCGAGGGCAACUUGUAAGGUGUCAAAUUGCAAAUGGUUCAUAUUUGCAUCAAAGGCUAAUCAAGAUGAACCUUUCAAGAUCAAGACAAUAGGCCCUGGCCAUUCUUGUGGCAAUCAAAGAGAUAACAAGACUAUCGACUCUGGUUUUUUAGCUAAGAAGUACGUAGAAGAAUUUAGAAUUAAUCCAAGUUGGGGAGUAAAAGAAUUUCAAACUCAUGUGAUGAGGGCUCAUAAUUGUACCAUUACUCGAAAUCAAGCUUAUAUGGCAAAGAAGAAGGCAUUAGAUCUAAUAACAGGGACUAAAGAAGAGCAAUUUGAUAUGUUAUGGGAUUAUUGUGCUGAGCUAAGGAGAAGUAAUCCAGGGACUACAUGUAUCUUGAAGUUGGAUGAAAGUCCAGAAACAAUGGUCAAUAGCAGAAAAAGAUUUUUAAGACUCUAUAUGUGUUAUGCAGCUUGCAAACAGGGAUUUUUAGCUGGAUGUCGACCCAUAAUAGGGGUUGAUGGAUGUCAUUUGAAAGGGCACCAAAAAGGGAGUCAGUUAUUGACAGCAGUAGGCAUUGAUGGAAAUGACAACAUAUAUCCUAUUGCAUUCGCAGUAGUGGAAGGUGAAUUGAAGGAAACAUGGAGUUGGUUUCUUACACUUCUUGAUGAAGACUUAGGAAUCUCACAAAAUCCUUUUGCAUGGACUUUCAUUUCUGAUAAGCAAAAAGGUCUAAUACCAGCAUUUGAUGAGAUAAUGCCAGAUAUUGCGCAUAGAUUUUGUGUGAGGCAUUUACACAAUAAUUUCAAAACUGAAGGUUUUGGAGGACAAACAAUGAAAGAUAUCCUAUGGAAAGCUGCCAGGGCAACAACAGAACCUGAAUUCUCCAAGCAUAUGGAAGAGAUGGCAAAAUUAGAUUCAAAAGCCCCUGAAUGGUUUAUUAAUAAACCUCCCAUUCACUGGUCAAGGGCUUUUUUUUCUUCUUUUCCAAAAUGUGAUGUUUUAUUAAACAACUUGUGUGAGUCAUUCAACAGUGUACUUCUACAUGCAAGAGAUAAGUAUAUUUUGACAAUGCUUGAAUUAAUUAGGAUCUAUAUGAUGUCCAGACUUCAAAAGAAUAGAGACAAAAUGAUGAAGUAUUGCCAACGAAUCUGCCCUAAAAUCAUGUUAAAGCUAGAGAAAAAUAAGGCAAAAGCUGUUGAAUGUAUUGCCAUUAAAUCUGACCAAUUCCACUAUCAAAUUGAGGAUAUCUAUCUUAGACUAUUCUCUGUCGAUCUUAAGGAGAAAACCUGUUCUUGUAGGAGAUGGGAUUUAACAGGAAUUCCUUGUAGUCAUGCUAUUGCAGCUAUAUGGGUUAAGAAGGAUGAGCCCGAUAUAUAUGUUCAUGAAUGCUACACAGUUGAGCAGUAUAUGAAAAGUUAUAGUCCAUCCAUCUUGCCAAUUGCUAACACUGAGCAAUGGCCUAAGACAGGGAUUGAACCACCUCUGCCACCCAUAUAUAAAGCACAACCAGGCAGACCAAGAAAACUAAGGAAGAGAGGAAUUGAUGAGACAACUCAAAAAGAAUCAGAUUCUAGAAAGCAUACCUUGUUAAAAACAUCAAGAAAAGGCAGAAAAAAGAAGUGUGGAUCAUGUGG